rnacentral:misc_RNA from 1 species
GGGGGUGGGCGUGUGUAAGCUUAAGACAGCUAGACAGUUGAAGUAGAAACAUAAAAAUUGCCAUAUUGGAGUUUGCUUACUGUUAAAAGAAAGUGAAUCUUCCAAAAAAUGUUGGAAUGUAUUAUACAUAGAAUUUGGGUAGUAGAUACUUACAUUAUAGGUGUUAGUGAUUUAUGUUCAAAUGGUUGCUAAUAAUGGAAUGAUAUUUUUUGAUAUAAUAGCAGCUUUACUUGUAUUUCUAUCUUAUAUGUUUAGCCAUUGGCGUCCUGUAUAUUGUCAUUUUAUUUUCAUGAGAAGGUUGGAAAUAUCAAAGCUUUAUAUUGUUGUUAUGCACAUGGAGAAAAAACCCAAUAGUACUGUGGCCUCAUAGCACUUCCCCUUCUUGUGUAGGAUCUAGCUCUUGUGCUUCAGG